rnacentral:miRNA from 1 species
UCAUCGUCCAAUCAGAAUGUGACA